rnacentral:rRNA from 1 species
UACGGAGGGUGCAAGCGUUAUCCGGAUUCACUGGGUUUAAAGGGUGCGUAGGUGGGUUGGUAAGUCAGUGGUGAAAUCUCCAGGCUUAACUUGGAAACUGCCAUUGAUACUAUCAAUCUUGAAUAUCGUGGAGGUCAGCGGAAUAUGUCAUGUAGCGGUGAGAUGCUUAGAUAUGACAUAGAACACCAAUUGCGAAGGCAGCUUACUACCCGAAUAUUGACACUGAGGCACGAAAGCAUGGGGAGCGAACAGG